rnacentral:rRNA from 1 species
GAGUUUGAUCCUGGCUCAGGAUGAACGCUGGCGGCAUGCCUAAUACAUGCAAGUCGAACGAGAGGAAGGAAAGCUUGCUUUUCUGAAUCUAGUGGCGAACGGGUGAGUAACACGUAGGUAACCUGCCCAUGUGCCCGGGAUAACUUCUGGAAACGGAUGCUAAAACCGGAUAGGUAGCAGACAAGCAUUUGACUGCUAUUAAAGUGGCUUUGGCCAUGAACAUGGAUGGACCUGCGGUGCAUUAGCUGGUUGGUGAGGUAACGGCCCACCAAGGCGACGAUGCAUAGCCGGCCUGAGAGGGCGGACGGCCACAUUGGGACUGAGACACGGCCCAAACUCCUACGGGAGGCAGCAGUAGGGAAUUUUCGUCAAUGGGGGGAACCCUGAACGAGCAAUGCCGCGUGAGUGAGGAAGGUCUUCGGAUCGUAAAGCUCUGUUGUAAGAGAAAAACGGCACUCAUAGGGAAUGAUGAGUGAGUGAUGGUAUCUUACCAGAAAGUCACGGCUAACUACGUGCCAGCAGCCGCGGUAAUACGUAGGUGGCGAGCGUUAUCCGGAAUGAUUGGGCGUAAAGGGUGCGUAGGUGGCAGAUCAAGUCUGGAGUAAAAGGUAUGGGCUCAACCCGUACUGGCUCUGGAAACUGAUCAGCUAGAGAACAGAAGAGGACGGCGGAACUCCAUGUGUAGCGGUAAAAUGCGUAGAUAUAUGGAAGAACACCGGUGGCGAAGGCGGCCGUCUGGUCUGGAUUCUGACACUGAAGCACGAAAGCGUGGGGAGCAAAUAGGAUUAGAUACCCUAGUAGUCCACGCCGUAAACGAUGAGAACUAGGUGUUGGGGGAAUAACUCAGUGCCGCAGUUAACGCAGUAAGUUCUCCGCCUGGGGAGUAUGCACGCAAGUGUGAAACUCAAAGGAAUUGACGGGGGCCCGCACAAGCGGUGGAG